rnacentral:rRNA from 1 species
GACGAACGCUUUCGUCUUUCUUAACACCUUCAAGUCGAACGUAAAGGCCCUGCUUUUGUUUGGUGCUCGAGUGGCGAACGGGUGAGUAACACGUGAGUAACCUUCCCUUGACUUUGGGAUAACUUCAGGAAACUGGGGCUAAUACCGGAUAGGAGCUCCUGCUGCAUGGUGGGGGUUGGAAAGUUUCGGCGGUUGGGGAUGGACUCGCGGCUUAUCAGCUUGUUGGUGGGGUAGUGGCUUACCAAGGCUUUGCCGUUUAGCCGGCCUGAGAGGGUGACCGGCCACAUUGGGACUGAGAUACGGCCCAGACUCCUACGGGAGGCAGCAGUGGGGAAUAUUGCACAAUGGGCGGAAGCCUGAUGCAGCAACGCCGCGUGCGGGAUGAAGGCAUUCGGGUUGUAAACCGCUUUCGCCUGUGACGAAGCGUGAGUGACGGUAAUGGGUAAAGAAGCAAAGGAGAAAUACGGG